AUUGUACAGGGUGACCUGCUACCACUGCAGGAUCAGGACAAUACUGAAGAACCGAUAAUAUGAGUUCUUAGGAACGGUGUGUACGUAGAGGCGGAUGCCGACGAGGCUGCUGAAGUAUUAGCAGACCUCGAUGAUGAUGAUGAUGAUGAUGAUGAUGAUGAGAAUCCAAACGACGCGGAUACCUACGAAGAAGGGGGUGAUGAAUACCAGUUAGACGCACUAUUCUCAUACAUAGGGUCAGUGUUUAAUCCUCGCGAGGAAUGAGAAAUGCAGAGGACGAUGGGGUAUGUCGGCAGAUCGGUGGUGGCCCCAUUCUUCGACCACAGAGCGACGACGAUGACGCCGACGGAGAUUUCAAUAACGACGUGCUACCACCUGGAUAUAGAUUUACAAUAGAAUCCGAAACGACACGUCGUAUAAAUAGGUUAGGCAUUUCAAAUAUAUAGGUCUUUUGUCAUCGAGUCAUGUAUAGUCGAAGUACCGCGGGGUACAGGACGCGUGCGAUUAGCGCACGAAUUUGUAAAAAAACAUUCUAUACUGACUAUAGCGA